UGACUCACUUGGGCAGCUCAUCCACCAAAACUGGGAUGAUUCAGAGAAAGUAAGUAUGGUCCUUGCACCAAGACUAUAUGCGAAGUCAGGAAGUCUUUUUUUUUUUA
rnacentral:snRNA from 1 species